UACCAGCACCCCGAGUGGUCGGGACGAUUAUUGGGCCUAAAGCAUCCGUAGCCGGUACUGCAAGUCUUCCGUUAAAUCCACCUGCUCAACAGUUGGGCUGCGGAGGAUACUACAGCGCUAGGAGGCGGGAGAGGCAAGCGGUACUCAUUGGGUAGGGGUAAAAUCCACUGAUCCAUUGAAGAACACCCGUGGCGAAGGCGGCUCUCUGGAACGCAACUGACGCUGAGACGCGAAAGCGUGGGGAGCAAACAGG
rnacentral:rRNA from 1 species